rnacentral:rRNA from 9 species
AAACCAACCGGGAUUGCCUCAGUAACGGCGAGUGAAGCGGCAACAGCUCAAAUUUGAAAGCCCGCGGGCGUUGUAAUUUGCAGGCGGAUGUUUUGGGGCGGGCGCUGUCUACGUUCCUUGGAACAGGACGCCGCAGAGGGUGAGAGCCCCGUGCGAUGGCGCCUUUAACCGCGUAAAACUCCGCCGACGAGUCGAGUUGUUUGGGAAUGCAGCUCCAAGUGGGUGGUAAAUUCCAUCUAAAGCUAAAUACUGGCGAGAGACCGAUAGCGAACAAGUACAGUGAUGGAAAGAUGAAAAGCACUUUGAAAAGAGAGUGAAACAGCACGUGAAAUUGUUGAAAGGGAAGGGUAUGCGAUUAGCGGCCAGCAGGAGGUGCGUUCUCGCGAAAAGGCCGUGCACCGUCUUCGGACACCGUGCGCGGAGAUGGCGAGGGGGCGCCUGAGGUCUGCGACUCGAGGUUGCUGGCGUAAUGAUUGCAUACCAC